rnacentral:rRNA from 1 species
UACGAAGGGGGCUAGCGUUGUUCGGAAUUACUGGGCGUAAAGGGUGCGUAGGCGGGUUUUUAAGUCAGGGGUGAAAUCCUGGAGCUCAACUCCAGAACUGCCUUUGAUACUGAAGAUCUUGAGUUCGGGAGAGGUGAGUGGAACUGCGAGUGUAGAGGUGAAAUUCGUAGAUAUUCGCAAGAACACCAGUGGCGAAGGCGGCUCACUGGCCCGAUACUGACGCUGAGGCACGAAAGCGUGGGGAGCAAACAGG